GCAUGAAGUCAAACAAGAGAACCCGCUGAAUUUAAGCAUAUAAGUAAGCGGAGG
rnacentral:rRNA from 1 species